AACGAACGCUGGCGGCAUGCCUAACACAUGCAAGUCGAACGAAGUCUUCGGACUUAGUGGCGCACGGGUGCGUAACGCGUGGGAAUCUGCCCUUGGGUGCGGAAUAACUUCUCGAAAGGGAUGCUAAUACCGCAUAAUGUCGUAAGACCAAAGAUUUAUCGCCCAAGGAUGAGCCCGCGUAAGAUUAGCUAGUUGGUGGGUAAAAGCCUACCAAGGCGACGAUCUUUAGCUGGUCUGAGAGGAUGAUCAGCCACACUGGGACUGAGACACGGCCCAGACUCCUACGGGAGGCAGCAGUGGGGAAUAUUGGACAAUGGGCGAAAGCCUGAUCCAGCAAUGCCGCGUGAGUGAUGAAGGCCCUAGGGUUGUAAAGCUCUUUUACCCGAGAUGAUAAUGACAGUAGUCGGGAGAAUAAGCUCCGGCUAACUCCGUGCCAGCAGCC
rnacentral:rRNA from 1 species